UACGGAGGGUGCAAGCGUUAAUCGGAAUCACUGGGCGUAAAGCGCGCGUAGGCGGCUUGAUAAGUCAGGCGUGAAAUCCCUCGGCUCAACCGGGGAACUGCGUUUGAUACUGUCAGGCUUGAGUGCCGGAGGGGGUGGCGGAAUUCCGGGUGUAGGAGUGAAAUCCGUAGAUAUCCGGAGGAACACCGGUGGCGAAGGCGGCCACCUGGACGGCAACUGACGCUGAGGCGCGAAAGCGUGGGGAG
rnacentral:rRNA from 1 species